UACGUAGGGUGCGAGCGUUGUCCGGAAUUAUUGGGCGUAAAGGGCUCGUAGGCGGUUUGUCGCGUCGGGAGUGAAAUCCACUGGCUUAACUGGUGGCUUGCUUUCGAUACGGGCAGACUGGAGGUAUGCAGGGGAGAACGGAAUUCCUGGUGUAGCGGUGAAAUGCGCAGAUAUCAGGAGGAACACCGGUGGCGAAGGCGGCGCUCUGGGCCGGUACUGACGCUGAGGAGCGAAAGCGUGGGGAGCAAACGGG
rnacentral:rRNA from 1 species